GACGAACGCUGGCGGCGUGCUUAACACAUGCAAGUCGAACGGAAAGGCCCUGCUUUUGUGGGGUGCUCGAGUGGCGAACGGGUGAGUAACACGUGAGUAACCUGCCCUUGACUUUGGGAUAACUCCAGGAAACUGGGGCUAAUACCGGAUAGGAGCUCCUGCUGCAUGGUGGGGGUUGGAAAGAUUCGGCGGCUGGGGAUGGACUCGCGGCUUAUCAGCUUGUUGGUGGGGUAGUGGCCUACCAAGGCUUUGACGGGUAGCCGGCCUGAGAGGGUGACCGGCCACAUUGGGACUGAGAUACGGCCCAGACUCCUACGGGAGGCAGCAGUGGGGAAUAUUGCACAAUGGGCGGAAGCCUGAUGCAGCAACGCCGCGUGCGGGAUGACGGCCUUCGGGUUGUAACCCGCUUUCGCCUGUGACGAAGCGUGAGUGACGGUAAUGGGUAAAGAAGCACCGGCUGACUACGUG
rnacentral:rRNA from 1 species